ACUUGACGAUGCGGACAUUUACACAGAAGGACCCUAAAAUGCUCCCAAGUCUUGAAAAUUUGCUCACCAUCUAUCUGUGAAAAACUAGUGAUGACCUUCCUAAGUU